GCUUGUCUCAAAGAUUAAGCCAUGCAUGUCUAAGUAUAGUACCUUAUACUGCGAAACUGCGAAUGGCUCAUUAAAUCAGUUAUAAUUCAUUUGAUGGUACUUACUACUCGGAUAACCGUAGUAAUUCUAGAGCUAAUACGUGCGUAAAUCCCGACUUCUGGAAGGGACGUAUUUAUUAGAUAAAAGGCCAGCCGGGCUCUGCCCGACCUGCGGUGAAUCAUGAUAACUUCACGAAUCGUAUGGCCCUGUGCCGACGAUGUUUCAUUCAAAUUUCUGCCCUAUCAACUUUCGAUGGUAGGGUAUUGGCCUACCAUGGCUUUAACGGGUAACGGAGAAUUAGGGUUCGAUUCCGGAGAGGGAGCCUGAGAAAUGGCUACCACAUCCAAGGAAGGCAGCAGG
rnacentral:rRNA from 1 species